rnacentral:SRP_RNA from 2 species
GCCAGGCAUGGUGGCGGGUGCCUGCAGUCCCAGCUACUCAGGAGGCUGAGGCAGGAGGAUCACUUGAACUCAGGAAGUUGAGGCUGCAGUGAGCUGUGUUCGUGCCACUGCACUCCAGCCUGGGUGAGAGAGUGAGACCCUGUCUCAA